AAAGAUGUUAGGUGGCCUUUAAAGCAGUACGACGUAUUCUCUCGUGCCUUCGUUCUAACAGGGAGCUCGCUUGUUUUGUUUUGCUCUGAGGGCAGGAGUUCCUGAGUUGGAGGCCACUGUAAACAGGCUCAUGGAGGUCAAGAGGGAUACAUGGAGGUUGCUGUUCUCGCUCUUCCUCGGACAGAUAGUCUCCUUCUCCAUGGCCAUCAGCAGCUUUACCACCUCUGUCAUCAGCAGUCUCGGAGUUGACGCACCACUGGCACAAUCAUUCCUGGUAUACAUGUUGUUAGCUCUGGUUUACGGAACGAUUCUUCUGCACCGACGACAAAAACUGCUUAUACCAUGGUAUUGGUACCUAACCCUUGUCUUCAUCGAUGUUCCGGGAAACUUUCUUGGUGAGUAGGCUGAAAAGGAAACAGUUUGAACUUUGAAUCACCAAUUGGCAGUAGGCAAUAGCUCCAGGUGAAACAAGAAAAGUAGUGCUGCACAUUAUCCGAACAUGCCAUCAUUGUGAGCAUGUGUUGCAGCUAUCAGGGCAUACCAGUACUCAUACAUCACCAGCAUAAACUUGUUGGACUGUUGGACUAUUCCAUGGGUCAUGAUCCUCACCAGGUUUGCACUAGGCACAAGAUACUCUUUUUGGCAAUUUGUAGGAGCAGGCACUUGCAUGGCAGGACUCUCCCUAGUACUCCUCUCAGAUUCAAAUUCGCCAGAUGUUCAAGAUGCAAGUAAAAGACCACUUCUCGGAGAUGUCCUUAUCAUUGCUGCCACAUUUUGUUUUGCGUUUAGCAAUGUCGGGGAGGAAUACUGUGUCAAGAAGAAAGACCGAAUUGAAUUCAUUGCAAUGCUUGGAAUCUUUGGGGUGCUUGUCACAGGAAUUCAGAUGUAUCCUGUCCAUCAUAUCAGUACUGAACUAGCAUGAUUCAUUGACCAUCCUAACUGUUGACUUUUUUUUUUUAAGAAACCAUUCUAUCCAUUUUGGGGGUGAAAAAUCACUACAUGUUCAUGAAGUAAAGUUUAAUGUUACCCUAUUAACUAGCAUAAACCACAGAUCUCUUUUUGAGAGGAAGAACCUAGAGACAAUCAACUGGUCUCCAAAAAUGGUGAGAAAACUAAAUCCUUCGACCUACCAAACUGUUUAAUGUUCCAUAGACCUUUUUUGAUCUAUCAGUAAGAAGACUCACGCCUUCAUUUUGACAUUGUUCCAGAUAAGUCUUUUCACAGGAUUUGCUAUAGCAGCUUUUGUGUUCUCAACCAUUAGUUCUUUUGUUCUUAAGGUUAACCUUCUCGAGCCAGUUCAGAUCUACUCCAUAGAUAUUUUCACUCAAUGUAACUCAUCACCAAGUAAUAGUUCAGACGGCUCUUUCAUGGCCAUUUAGCAGCGUAGUAGCACUUAGCUUUCUGUCAAACUUCGCAGAUGAGUGGAUCAACUAUGUUUAACCUCUCACUCUUAACAACUGACAUAUGGGCGGUCGCCAUUCGGUAUUUCUUCUAUCAUCAGCAGGUAAAUUGGCUCUACUACUUAGCAUUUGCAGUUGUAGCCAUGGGACUGAUCAUCUACUUGCGGAAUGAGAGUUCUUCAGAUGACGAGACAGCUCCAAGUACAACAGAAACAACUCAGUAUGAACAACUUUCAAGUGAGGAGUCGGGUGGUGCCAAUCUUGACUGGCAGAACAGAAAACAUCAGGAAGAUGAUCACACCUGUUAGGCACCUCAAGUAACCUCAAGGCAAUGGGAUAUAUCUUGUAUAAGACUAGACCUGAUAAGGGGUCAAGUAACCUCCUGGGAAUAGACAGAAAUUGUGUUAACUAAAUCAGAUACCAUAUUAGAAUAUAUGUGGAGGGUAUGCAAACUAGAAGGUUCCAGUUUUCAUUUUGUUCUAAUUUUCUAAUUGUUGUGUAACAAAAAAUGUCGAAGAAUAUGACGAAGGUUGCAUUUUUUGACA